ACUGCUCAGUAACACGUGGAUAACCUGCCCUUGGGUCCGGCAUAACCCUGGGAAACUGGGGAUAAUUCCGGAUAACGCACAUAUGCUGGAAUGCUUUAUGCGUAAAAUGGAUUCGUCUGCCCAAGGAUGGAUCUGCGGCCUAUCAGGUAGUAGUGGGUGUAAUGUACCUACUAGCCAACAACGGGUACGGGUUGUGAGAGCAAGAGCCCGGAGAUGGAUUCUGAGACAUGAAUCCAGGCCCUACGGGGCGCAGCAGGCGCGAAAACUUUACAAUGCGGGAAACCGUGAUAAGGGGACACCGAGUGCCAGCAUCAUAUGCUGGCUGUCCGGGUGUGUAAAAUACACCCGUUAGCAAGGGCCGGGCAAGACCGGUGCCAGCCGCCGCGGUAACACCGGCGGCCCGAGUGGUGAUCGUGAUUAUUGGGUCUAAAGGGUCCGUAGCCGGUUUGGUCAGUCCUCCGGGAAAUCUGACGGCUCAACCGUUAGGCUUUCGGGGGAUACUGCCAGGCUUGGAACCGGGAGAGGUAAGAGGUACUACAGGGGUAGGAGUGAAAUCUUGUAAUCCCUGUGAGACCACCUGUGGCGAAGGCGUCUUACCAGAACGGGUUCGACGGUGAGGGACGAAAGCUGGGGGCACGAACCGGAUUAGAUACCCGGGUAGUCCCAGCCGUAAACGAUGCUCGCUAGGUGUCAGGCAUGGCGCGACCGUGUCUGGUGCCGCAGGGAAGCCGUGAAGCGAGCCACCUGGGAAGUACGGCCGCAAGGCUGAAACUUAAAGGAAUUGGCGGGGGAGCAC
rnacentral:rRNA from 1 species